UACGGAGGGUGCAAGCGUUACCCGGAUUCACUGGGCUUAAAGGGUGCGUAGGUGGGCUUGUAAGUCAGUGGUGAAAUCUCCGUGCUUAACCUGGAAACUGCCAUUGAUACGAUGGGUCUUGAAUUAUCUGGAGGUUAGCGGAAUAUGUCAUGUAGCGGUGAAAUGCUUAGAUAUGACAUAGAACACCAAUUGCGAAGGCAGCUGGCGACAGGUACAUUGACACUGAGGCACGAAAGCGUGGGGAGCAAACAGG
rnacentral:rRNA from 1 species